AUUGAACGCUGGCGGCAGGCUUAACACAUGCAAGUCGAGCGGAGAUGAGGUGCUUGCACCUUAUCUUAGCGGCGGACGGGUGAGUAAUGCUUAGGAAUCUGCCAUUUAGUGGGGGACAACAUUCCGAAAGGAAUGCUAAUACCGCAUACGUCCUACGGGAGAAAGCAGGGGAUCUUCGGACCUUGCGCUAACUGAUGAGCCUACGUCGGAUUAGUCAGCUGGUGGGGUAAAGACCUACCAAGGAGACGAUCUGUAGCGGGUCUGAGGAGACGAUCCGCCACACUAGGACUGAGACAGGGCGCAGACUCCUACGGGAGGCAGCAGUGGGGAAUAUUGGGCAAUGGGCGGAAGCCUGAUCCAGCCAUGCCGCGUGUGUGAAGAAGGCCUUUUGGUUGUAAAGCACUUUAAGCGAGGAGGAGGCUACUAGUACUAAUACUACUGGAUAGUGGACGUUACUCGCAGAAUAAGCACCGGCUAACUCUGUGCCAGCCGCCGCAGUAAGAC
rnacentral:rRNA from 1 species